rnacentral:tRNA from 1 species
UAAAUUUUAGUUUAAGUUUUAAAAUUUUUUUUUUACAAAAAAAAGAUAUUAUUUGUUAUUAAAUUUAU